AAAAUCCAAAAUACUUAAUUCCUAUCUUAACCCCUUUCAAUAAAGAUGGAAAUGGAUUAUGGUGGAUACCGUGCACUCCUGAGAUUAAGAUACGAGGUGGAUGCCUCGCCCAUCUUAACUUUCGCCGUCAUUUGCCAAUUCAGUUUCUUCAAACCCCUUUCCCAAUCAAAUUCAAAACACGUAAUCUUUAUUAAACACUUUCGCCAGUAAGAUGGAAAUGGAACAUGGAGG
rnacentral:lncRNA from 1 species